rfam:Rhodovulum sulfidophilum DNA, complete genome, strain: DSM 2351.
CGCGUAUUUUGCGAUGAUCGAAGGCAGUGCGGCAUUGCUUCGAGCAAUGCCUGAGAUGCUCGACCGCCGGUCGAAGUGAUGGUCGGGUUCAUCGACGAUCAGCGAGGGAAGCAUGGGGUCGAGCCGAUCUGCAGGGUUCUGCCGAUCGCCCCG